rnacentral:rRNA from 1 species
AUGUCUUCGAUUUUUGCUGGAACUAAUCAAUUUUUUGCUUCCAUGUACUUUUUUGCUGGAACCAUUGUAUCGAUUUUGCUACAACCAUUUUCUUUUGCUACUACCGCCUUGUUGAUUUGUUACAUCCAUUUUCUCAUGAUGUUACCGAGACCCACAACUAUGUGGUUUUUGCUGCGAUUAUUGUCAAUUUUUGCUACCACCGGUGUCAACAUUUGUUGCUUUCACGCUCGUGCAAAUAAGAGUUGCAACCAAGAACAACGGCGAGGUGUAGCGGCGGUGCGGGGUGUUUUUCAACCGAGGUGUUUAGGGCAUUGCGAGUUGUUGGGGAAGUAG